CUGAAUGGCCGAACUGGUUGUUUUGUUUAAAACCCUAAUCUAACCCAAUGAGCCUCUGUUUGGUUUCUAAGAAAACAAAGGAUUUGUUUUUUUGAAGAGCAAUCAACAAGUCGUUCCACGAAUGGAGAUCGAAGUCGCAGGCUAUGCAAUGAUUUGAAGAGGUAUUCACCCAAAAUAAGGAUUGAAGAGGCUUCUUGAAGAUCUCUCUCUUCUCCAGUAGCUUAUUUGUUUGA